rnacentral:rRNA from 1 species
UCGGAUCAGGUAGGACUACCCGCUGAACUUAAGCAUAUCAAUAAGCGGAGGAAAAGAAACCAACAGGGAUUGCCCCAGUAACGGCGAGUGAAGCGGCAACAGCUCAAAUUUGAAAUCUGGCCCCAGGCCCGAGUUGUAAUUUGCAGAGGAUGCUUUUGGCGCGGUGCCUUCCGAGUUCCCUGGAACGGGACGCCAUAGAGGGUGAGAGCCCCGUACGGUUGGACACCAAGCCUUUGUAAAGCUCCUUCGACGAGUCGAGUAGUUUGGGAAUGCUGCUCUAAAUGGGAGGUACAUUUCUUCUAAAGCUAAAUAUUGGCCAGAGACCGAUAGCGCACAAGUAGAGUGAUCGAAAGAUGAAAAGCACUUUGAAAAGAGGGUUAAACAGCACGUGAAAUUGUUAAAAGGGAAGCGCUUGUGACCAGACUUGCGUCCGGUGAAUCACCCAGCUCUCGCGGCUGGGGCACUUCGCCGGCACAGGCCAGCAUCAGCUUGCCGUCGGGGACAAAAGCUUCAGGAACGUGGCUCCUCUCGGGGAGUGUUAUAGCCUGUUGCACAAUACCCUUCGGCGGGCUGAGGUACGCGCUCCGCAAGGAUGCUGGCGUAAUGGUCAUCAGCGACCCGUCUUGAAACACGGACCAAGGAGUCAACCUUAUGUGCGAGUGUUUGGGUGUUAAACCCCUACGCGUAAUGAAAGUGAACGCAGGUGAGAGCUUCGGCGCAUCAUCGACCGAUCCUGAUGUUCUCGGAUGGAUUUGAGUAAGAGCAUAUAGGGUUGGACCCGAAAGAAGGUGAACUAUGCGUGUGUAGGGUGAAGCCAGAGGAAACUCUGGYGGAGGCUCGCAGCGGUUCUGACGUGCAAAUCGAUCGUCAAACAUGCGCAUG